GGACAUAAAAGUUUGGAUGUGAAAGACGCGGAUGUAGAAGCCAACGAAUGAGACGUGCCCGUGACGCGCGGACACGAACCUAUAUUAACAAGUUUUGGAUGUAAAUGCUCUCUAAGCAGGCUCUUAGCUGAUUGUAAUCAAAUUCCUCUUUUACAACAAAUAUCCUAAGUUGGGCAUAAAAGAAAGAGUAGUUCUAUAUAUCCACGACACAAGACCGUCCGGAUCUGCUGAAUCCUGAGAGAAAAUAACUAGUAGCUCACAACAAUGGUUCUAUGUAAUACUCCGUAUAAUAAUAGCAGCAGGACAGUACACUAGUACAGAUACGAUGCGUGGCUUGCAUCUGCCGACCGGAGAGGCUGCGGUCCUGGCCGGGAAAGAGGCAUUUUGGCGCGGAUGAGGCGAGCCCCUCCUUACCCAGCAGCGUCCGUCCAUCCAACCCAUGGAUCCAGAAUUUGAGCAUGGG
rnacentral:lncRNA from 1 species